UGAAUUGGUCUGAACGCACUUGAUCUUGUCCGAUCUUGGAAGCUAAGCAGGGUCAGGCCUGGUUAGUACUUGGAUGGGAGAAUGAAUUGGCCUUAA
rnacentral:rRNA from 1 species